GCCUGGGUAACUCAGUCAGUUGAGCAUUUGACUCUUAAUCACAGGGUUAUGAGUUCAAGCCCCAUAUUAGGCU
rnacentral:tRNA from 1 species